UUUUCAGGCAGCUAUCGAGCUUUUCUAGAGGAAGAGCUGAUGAAAAGAGUCACAGCUGAAUAGUGGAGAGAAAAAAGCCCGGUAUUUAUUGCUUUUGUUUGGCUUUUGGCUACAGAGACAGGAACCUUCUAAUGGGUCUCAUCAGAUGAUCACUGGCCUCGGCGACAUAUAGGAAGUUGGAUGCUUAAACAAUCAUCAAGUCUCCCUGAAGAAAUGAUUCCUGGUCCUGCAGUACUUCAGUUCACAUUCCUGCAAGAACUGGGCCACUUAUUCCCGUUGAGAGAUCUCCGGAUGGGUAAAGACAUGCACCUGCUCGCCUGCAGUCUGGUUCUUCUACCUGAGAUGAGAUAUCUUCUCCCACACAAUAGAGCUCCAUUCAUUUCCUCUUGGCCUUUGGAUCUCAUUCCAUUUGGUAUUUCCUUCAGCAAACACCACAUGUGCUAUGGGGAUGUCUCAUCUCCCUCAAGACUCUUUUCCCAAGUCCUAUAUUGCUGAACACAGACUACGAACUCUAUAAAAAAUUUCCUGAUUGAUCUAAUGAAAAGCAGGUUAAAGCACAGCACUAAGAAGCUAAAGCCACUUCAG